rnacentral:lncRNA from 1 species
UGGAUCUCGCAGCGAAGCUGAUGAAGAGCUCACUGCCGCUCCGGUAGGACUCUGGCCUCUCUCCUCCUCCCACUGUCUUGCUCUUCCUCAUUUAUGUGGCAUUUAGAGAAGAAUGUGAGACCGUGGUCCAAGCAAGCAUAAAAGAUUAGGGUUUUCCUUCUUUCUUAGGGUUCUGGCUGCUGGCAGGUCCUUUUGGAUGUAGCUUAUUAGAACGUGGGAAGAGGGAGUAUUGUGCAGGACUAAAGGCCACCAUAAGCUCCCUUCUUCUUUAAAUGGUUAUUACUAGAGUAAGUUUGUAUGAAUGUUCUUUCCAAGCAUCAUUGGGCACAAGAAAUUGCCACGAUUGAUGCAAGAGGAAUGUUUGUGACCUUUAUCACGCAAUGCACAUCAUCGGUCCAUGAGGAAAUGAUAGUAAUAAUGAUGACCAUACAUAUCAAAUAUGUUUUGACGAGCAAGUGCCUCUUUGACGGUGGCAAGCCUAGCAAAUGAGUCCAAAAAGAAUAGGAUUUUCCAUUAUCUAAGGAUAAUUUUUGAUUUUUAAUUUUUAAAAAAUAUUUUUUAUUUUUUAUAAUUUUUGUUAUUAAAUAAAAUAAUAAAAUAAAAAAUAUAUUUGAUAACUAUAUUGCUAUAAAGCAAAAAAUAAUAUUUGGUGACGACAAGUGAAGGACUCGAUGAGAAAAAAAGAUUCAAGAAAGAAAAAGGAGGUGGGAAGGUGCAGAGCUCGACGAGAGAGAAGGGUUCGGGCUCUUUAUUUUUUUGACAAUUUUUUGAUUUUUAUUUUUUAUCAAAUAUUAUUUUUUAUUUUUAUUUUUUAAAAAUAAAAAAUUAAAAAUAUUUUUUUAAUGACUAAUCCAAUGUACCUUAGAAGAUCAAGAUCGAUUCUGGGGCAGGCCGAACUGGGUGACCGUCCCGGGCCUCAUUCUUACAUUGACGUUUCAAUGAGGUGCAAAGAUGACUUCUACAAUAUUAUAAUAAAAAAAAUAAUUAAAUAGGUUAAUGAUAGAUUUUACAUGCUGCUUAACAAACAUAUCUAUAAAAAAUUAUUAUAUAUAAAUUAAUUUUUUAAUAAUAAUUAAUAUUUAAAAUAUAUUAAUUUUUAAUAAAAAAUAUUUUAUUUUUUUAUUUGAUCUCGGACCUAAAAAAAUAUCAGGAUGCAGGAGAUAGAGAAGACAAUAGGGUGGGCAUCCCAUUACCUACACCCGCCUGACGAUGAGGAGCCACAUACUCAUUUUGGACUCGUAUUCAGUGUGGGGUGGGUCGAGGCACCCCAAGCCCAUCCAGCGGAUAUACUUAAAUUCAUGAAUGCGUCCUACUCAUCUAGAGUUAGAUGGGCAAGCUAUUACGGAUAGAAGUGGAUAAAAUUGUAAAAUUUAUAUUCUAUUUGUUUCAGUGUACAAACCAAACAAAUGAAAAUAAUGUAAUAUUAGACCACAGUGCUUCACAUAAUAUUAAACAAAAUAAAAUUUCAAGACAUAAAACACAAUGAACUAAAUAUUCACCAAUAAUAUAAACAAUAAAUUGAUAUCAUUUUUUAGGAAACCAAAGAUAGAAAAUAAUCAUUUAAAAAAAUAUAUAUUUUAAAAAUAUCUUAGGUCAGGUUCGAGGUAGGUAAUGCCCUUGAAGCUAUUACAGUUUUAUUUUAAAUACCCGUGCUCGCCUCCUGACCUUGAAUCGGUCGGAUACAACCCAUCGUGUUAGGAUCGGAUAAGGCAGGAUAGCCAAAGGAUGGUAUAAAUUGUUGCCCCCGAGUAAAAAGACAAUUUGAUUGAUCAUAUAGCCAAUAUGGCUAGUCUAGUACCAGCGACUUUCUUAUGCCUCUAGCACCAGCACUAGUGACUAUUUUGCUGCUUACUCUCAUUUUAGUUGGAAGCUUUCUCAGUCAAGUCCAUCAUCCAUCGCAGAAAGAAGAAAACUACCUGCUGUUAAUCGCACCAAUGCUUUAAGACGCCGGCAUUCUGCAGCACCACUCUUCGCAGUCUCAUGAUUUUAUUUUAUUUGGAGAAGUCUCAUGAUUUUAUUUGAUAUCCCACAACCCAGAGGGAAACGGAACUGCAGCCUUUUCUACGAGGGAACUAAUGGAUGCAUCCUUUUCAGUUGCCAAACCGCCCAAGUUACAAGCGCAUAAAUUUGGACACGAUUGAUGGGAAUACAAAGGGUACCAAUAGUCCAAUCAAUUGAUCAUGCAGCGUCGCGUUUUGACCUGUAGAGAGAAGGCC